UACAGAGGGUGCGAACGUUGCUCGGAAUCACUGGGCGUAAAGCGCGUGUAGGCUGACAGGCAAGUCAGGUGUGAAAUCCCUGAGCUCAACUCAGGAACUGCAUCUGAAACUGCCUGUCUGGAGUGUCGGAGAGGGAAGCGGAAUUCCGGGUGUAGAGGUGAAAUUCGUAGAUAUCCGGAGGAACACCAGUGGCGAAGGCG
rnacentral:rRNA from 1 species